rnacentral:rRNA from 1 species
ACUAAAUAGAUACCCAGGUAGUCCAUGCCGUAAACUAUGGAUACUAGCUGUUGGGGGUAUCGACCCCUCCAGUAGCGAAAGCUAAACGCGUUAAGUAUCCCGCCUGUGGAGUACGAUCGCAAGAUUAAAACAUAAAGGAAUUGACGGGGACCCGCACAAGCGGUGGAGCGUGUUCUUUAAAUUCGAUGCUAAACGAAGAACCUUACCAGGGCUUGACAUCCCUUGAAUUACUCCGAAAGGAGUGAGUGCUUUAUUGAGCAAGGUGACAGGUGAUGCAUGGCCGUCGUCAGCUCGUGUCGUGAGAUGUUUGGUUAAGUCCAUCAACGAGCGCAACCCUUAUACUUAGUUGUAUUUUUCUAGGUAGACUGCCCCGGUAACGGGGAGGAAGGGGGGU